rnacentral:sRNA from 17 species
GCAAUGGCUGACUAGGGUUCCGGCUCGCAUCUGCGAGUGGCUGGUCCGAGAGUUGGCGACCUCCAGUUGAGGUUACACGGCGGGACAAAAGCCCGGGAGAC